rnacentral:lncRNA from 1 species
GGAAAAACAGAACAUCCUUCAUUCACAUGACUGCGAAGGCAGUCGUGGUACUGGUAUUUUUGUAGCCUCAAUUCUGAAAGGGGGAAGUGGGUUUUCAGUUUUGAGUAUUUUUAAAAAUUUGCCUAGUUCCCUGUGUUUGCAAGCUAUCUUCUGGAAAUGAGAGUGCUGAGUUGCGUGGCUCACAGAACCUGCUCCUUGAAACCGCUUGAAGGCAGGAUGCCUGAGAAAAAGAGGGAACCACUGGGCCCAACAACUUCAAAACCCUCAGGUGAAAAAGAUGAGCAGGCACAGACUAGAAGGGAGCUUUUCAACAUCACAAAAUUCCCCAAGUGAAGGAGUAGAAGCCAUUGUACGUCUUUCAAACAGAGCAAGAGAACAAUGGCUAACACUGAUUGGGCACCUGCACGUGCAUAGAAGUCUCACAGCUGUUCUCCACCAAAAAUUGCUAUCACCAUCCUGGCUUUACCGACAAGGAAACUAAGCUCUCUCUUGGGAUGGAUCACAGCUCCCUUCACCUUCAUCACACUCAGGCUCAGCCAAGUGUAAAGUCCAACAAACGUGCAUCCUAGGCCUCGGGCUCCCUGCUGCAGCCCUCCCAUGGGCUGUGUCUAACCAUCUGGAGCCUCGUUUCUUCAUCUGUAAAACGGGGUGAUAUUGACAGGUAUAACCAAGCUGUGCUUCAGAAAACAGUAUUUAAGACAAAUAAAUGAUACAAUUCUGCGAAUAAGAUCUAAAAUACUUAGCACCAUAUUCAGAACACAGUAUGUGUUCAAUGUUUCACAUUUAAAACAAAAGUCGAUUAUUUUAGUUACUAUAUUUUAAUUCUAUGUCACAUUUUAAUAACAUUUGAUGCUUUUUGAGGUGGCUCCAAUCAUCAUUUCCCGUGGUUUUCACAAUAACCUGGCACAACUGGCAGGGAAGUUCUACUUCCUCAUCUCACAAAUCAUUUCCAUUAAUAUUUAUUGUGUACCUACUAUGCAUAGGACCUGGGCUAGGAACUUGGAGACACAGCACAUGCAUGG